CACUGGCGCUGAUGGGACAGUUUGCUUUUGGCAAUGGGAUUUAGAAUCCUUAAAAUUUAGCCCACGUCCCCUGAAGUUCACUGAAAAGCCUAGGCCAGGCGUUCAAAUGCUUUGUUCUUCUUUUAGUGUUGGUAAGAACUUCUUCACAUUUUUUCUUAGUUUUUUUUUUUUUUAAACAUUUAUUAAAUGACCACUUGAUUGCUAAGAACUUUUAUUAGAUACGUGGUAAAUGAUUUCUGAUGUUUAUUUCAUUAGGUUCAAUUUAUGAUGUUCAUUUUGUUAGCCUUGUUCUUCCAGUCCUCCAUUCUGCCUUUCUCUGAUUUCUGGUAGUAAUCAGUGAUAUAAGAGAUGGCUGGUAAAAGGGAGGCUUGAGGUGUC
rnacentral:sRNA from 1 species